rnacentral:rRNA from 1 species
GUGAGGAAUAUUGGUCAAUGGGCGGGAGCCUGAACCAGCCAAGUCGCGUGAAGGAAGAAGGAUCUAUGGUUCGUAAACUUCUUUUGCAGGGGAAUAAAGUGCAGGACGUGUCCUGUUUUGUAUGUACCCUGAGAAUAAGGAUCGGCUAACUCCGUGCCAGCAGCCGCGGUAAUACGGAGGAUCCGAGCGUUAUCCGGAGUUAUUGGGUUUAAAGGGUGCGUAGGUGGAUUGAUAAGUCAGCGGUGAAAGUUUGCAGCUUAACUGUAAAAAUGCCGUUGAAACUGUCGGACUUGAGUGUAAAUGAGGUAGGCGGAAUGCGUGGUGUAGCGGUGAAAUGCAUAGAUAUCACGCAGAACUCCGAUUGCGAAGGCAGCUUACUAAGCUACAACUGACACUGAAGCACGAAAGCGUGGUGAUCAAACAGGAUUAGAAACCCUUGUAGUCC